GUGGGGAAUAUUGCACAAUGGGCGGAAGCCUGAUGCAGCAACGCCGCGUGCGGGAUGACGGCCUUCGGGUUGUAAACCGCUUUCAGCAGGGACGAAGCGCAAGUGACGGUACCUGCAGAAGAAGCACCGGCUAACUACGUGCCAGCAGCCGCGGUGAUACGUAGGGUGCGAGCGUUGUCCGGAUUUAUUGGGCGUAAAGAGCUUGUAGGCGGUUGGUUGCGUCGAAAGUGCAAACUCAGGGCUUAACUCUGAGCCUGCUUUCGAUACGGGCUGACUGGAGGAAGGUAGGGGAGAAUGGAAUUCCCGGUGGAGCGGUGGAAUGCGCAGAUAUCGGGAGGAACACCAGUGGCGAAGGCGGUUCUCUGGACCUUUCCUGACGCUGAGAAGCGAAAGCGUGGGGAGCAAACAGGAUUAGAAACCCGUGUAGUCC
rnacentral:rRNA from 1 species